GGUAAGUCUAACUUUGGAGAUUCUCUACCAGUCAUCUUGGGUGACCUGAGGUAGCCAUAUGAAAUGGCGAGAUUUGACAUCAUCCCUCUUCUGCGCCAGAAGGAACAAUUAGUCCUUCCAUAAAUAGAUCAAUAUUCGCUCAUGCUGUAGACUAUGGAAUCCAAUCUGUAGUAUCCUUUCUGCAUGUUGGCACCAAGCCUACCUCAUGAAACCAGCAAUGGGCAUUUUUCUAAUUCUACUUUCAAAGGUCCCAUUAUGGGUAAUACAAAAGAACAUGAAAAAGUCUAUACAUUUUUUUUUCUCCUGCCAUUUUCCAAAAGUUCAUCUUCAAAAGAAUCAGAAGCAGUUGACCUACAUUUCAAUAUGCCUUCAUCACAAACACUUUCUCAAACCCUGGUGGCUGUGUUGAGAAGAAAUCUUGAGGACAUUACAGAACUUCUGAGAAUUUUCACGGAUGGAAAUUCUUCCUUUCUAGGCCUUAAGACACAAAGCUUCAGUUUCUGUCCUCUGCCAUCCACUCAAAAGCUUUCACAUUUACCUGUCAGAAUGUUUUCCCACAUACUUCAUAUGACUUUUCCAUGUGGAUGGCGAGGGCAUCUAUUCUUGCUGCAAUCUCAGUUGUUAUGAAUAACACCUGUAUACCAAUUUAUCUUCUAUAAACCUCUUACUAUUGGGUCACUUUCUCAUUUUUUUCCCUCUCCAAACGAUGAACUGAUUUAACUAAUUCCACUGCCUACAACUCUCUUGAGAUCCACACUGUUAGUGGCUGCAGUGGAUAUUUCCAACCUCUUUAUAAUUUUGAGGACACAUGAAGGCAGAUUUACCUAUACACAGGAAUGCUCCUCACCUG
rnacentral:lncRNA from 1 species